rnacentral:rRNA from 1 species
AGCAGUCGCCACGGGAAUACAGAGGGUGCGAGCGUUAAUCGGAUUUACUGGGCGUAAAGCGUGCGUAGGCGGCUUCUUAAGUCGGAUGUGAAAUCCCUGAGCUUAACUUAGGAAUUGCAUUCGAUACUGGGAAGCUAGAGUAUGGGAGAGGAUGGUAGAAUUCCAGGUGUAGCGGUGAAAUGCGUAGAGAUCUGGAGGAAUACCGAUGGCGAAGGCAGCCAUCUGGCCUAAUACUGACGCUGAGGUACGAAAGCAUGGGGAGCAAACAGGAUUAGAUACCCCGGUAGUCCCUGUCUCUUAUAA